rnacentral:rRNA from 1 species
AAUCUUCCACAAUGGACGAAAGUCUGAUGGAGCAACGCAGCGUGAGCGAAGAAGGUUUUCGGACCGUAACGCCCUGUUGCGAGGGAAGAACAAGUACGGGAGGACCUGCCCGUACCUUUACGGUAACUCUUCAGAAAGCCACGGCUAACUACGUGCCAUCAGCCUCGGUAAUACGUAGGUGGCCAGCGUUGUCCGGAAUUAUUGGACGUAAAGCUCGCGCAGGCGGUCCUUUAAGUCUGAUGUGAAAGCCCACGGCUCAACCGUGGACGGUCAUUGGAAACUGGAGGACUUGAGUACAGAAGAGGAAAGAGGAAUUCCACGUGUAGCGGUGAAAUGCGUAGAGAUGUGGAGGAACACCAGUGGCGAAGGCGGCUUUCUGGUCUGUAACUGACGCUGAGGCGCGAAAGCGUGGGGAGCAAACA